GGGAUAUUAGCUCAGGUGGUAGAGCACUUGACUUUUAAUCAAGUUGUCCAGGUUCCGAAUCCCGGAUGUCUCA
rnacentral:tRNA from 1 species